CGGCGUGCCUAAUACAUGCAAAGUCGAACGCACUCUCGUCUAGAUUGAAGGAGCUUGCUCCUGAUUGAUAACAUUGAGUGAGUGGCGGACGGGUGAGUAACACGUGGGUAACCUGCCCUAAAGUGGGGGAUAACAUUUGGAAACAGAUGCUAAUACCGCAUAAAACCUAACACCGCAUGGUGUAGGGUUGAAAGAUGGUUUCGGCUAUCACUUUAGGAUGGACCCGCGGUGCAUUAGUUAGUUGGUGAGGUAAAGGCUCACCAAGACCGUGAUGCAUAGCCGACCUGAGAGGGUAAUCGGCCACACUGGGACUGAGACACGGCCCAGACUCCUACGGGAGGCAGCAGUAGGGAAUCUUCCACAAUGGACGAAAGUCUGAUGGAGCAACGCCGCGUGAGUGAAGAAGGUUUCGGAUCGUAAACUCUGUUGUUGGAGAAGAAUGUAUCUGAUAGUAACUGAUCAGGUAGUGACGGUAUCCAACCAGAAAGCCACGGCUAACUACGUG
rnacentral:rRNA from 1 species